CCUACGGGAGGCAGCAGUGGGGAAUCUUGCGCAAUGGGCGAAAGCCUGACGCAGCCAUGCCGCGUGAAUGAUGAAGGUCUUAGGAUUGUAAAAUUCUUUCACCGAGGACGAUAAUGACGGUACUCGGAGAAGAAGCCCCGGCUAACUUCGUGCCAGCAGCCGCGGUAAUACGAAGGGGGCUAGCGUUGCUCGGAAUUACUGGGCGUAAAGGGAGCGUAGGCGGAUAGUUUAGUCAGAGGUGAAAGCCCAGGGCUCAACCUUGGAAUUGCCUUUGAUACUGGCUAUCUUGAGUACGGAAGAGGUAUGUGGAACUCCGAGUGUAGAGGUGAAAUUCGUAGAUAUUCGGAAGAACACCAGUGGCGAAGGCGACAUACUGGUCCGUUACUGACGCUGAGGCUCGAAAGCGUGGGGAGCAAACAGGAUUAGAUACCCUGGUAGUCCACGCUGUAAACGAUGAGUGCUAGUUGUCGGCAUGCAUGCAUGUCGGUGACGCAGCUAACGACAUAAGACACUCCGCCGUCGGGGUAGGUACGGUCGGCGAGAAGUUAAAACGUUAAAACGGUAAGUUAGUACGGACGUGAGACGUGCCGACGGACGACGACGAGGGAGAGG
rnacentral:rRNA from 1 species